ACUCAAGGGACCAGUUUAAAAACAUGACAUUGGUUUAAAAUAACAUAUAAAAUCAAUACAUAUUUCAAGAAUUGAUAGAUAGUUUUAAUUUUGUAAUUUGAAAAUUAUCUGGAUAGAUCUGCUAGCAGAGAGCAAUAGUUUUAAAAUCAGACAUUUAGUUGUCAAAGCUCUUCUUGGCAAGUCAUUCCACAAUCUAGAGGCAGCUGAAGAAAAAGUCCUUUGGUUGCUAAACAAAAAAAACCUUUUACCUGGUUUUCUUAGGCCCCUUCUACACAGCUGUAUAAAAUUCAGAGUAUCUGCUUUGAACUGGAUUAUAUGGCAUUUGUAUGCCAUAUAACAUCAUCCUCAUGGAGAGGAUGCCUACUCUCCAUGAAUCUUCCUGUUCAUUCCUUUCAUGUAUAGUGAUAAAUUUGCAAUGAGCAUGUUUAUGCAAUUUUUUUCUGACCCAAAACAGAAUUCUAAUGUUUGGGAGAUAUGCCCCAUGUCUAAAGUAUCAAUUGUGUUCCAUCUCAAGACCAAAAGCCAGAAAAUAGAUGCUACAGCUUCACCACACACACAUAAAGCAUACAUGUAUAUACACACAUACAUGUAUGGCCAAUGACUAAAAUCUGGGGCAAUUUUGGUGGAUAACAGUGCCAUCAACUGUAUAUAAUUAGCGGGUUAAUUCUAUGUGGAUUUUAUAACAAAGGCUAUUGUCUUUAGGAGAACAGGGUUAAGAUCAUCAAUGAUUAAUAGAAGUCCUGUUCUGUAUCUCACCAUUGCUUGAACCUUGUUUACCUUGAAAUGGGAAGAAUAUGUUAUAUGCUGGUCUGCCUAGCUUUUGAAAUUCUCUGUAUUGAAAGGCCCACCCCUAUCCUUCUCUGAUGGCUUUCCAUUAGGGUGUUAGGACUAUUUCUCCUGAAAAGUCUUUUAAGCUAUAGUUUUGACCUUCUUAAUACUGGAUUUUCAAUUGGUAACUUUUAAAAAUUCCAAUGGUCAGUUUUAAUUGAUUUUUAAUUCUGGCUUGGUUUUGGAUUUUAUCUGCUCUUUGUUUUGUGUAUUAUUGUUGUUUUGUUAUUUUACAGGUGUUUAAAUGUUGCCUGUUGUUGUUGGCUUUUUGUGGGAUAGUUGUAAAGGUAUUUUCAGUAUAACUAUAGGCUCCCUUGCCAUGUAGAGCAUGUCCUAUUAUAUGACAUCACAGGAGAAUCCAUUGUGAUCAUCAUUUUCCAUAGCCUUCAACCUCCGUAUAAAUAGGUAUGAUUCACCACUUGCAACCGUAGGCUUCCACAAGGCAGGUGAUACUCCAAUUGCUAAGACCUUGAAAGCAAAAAGAUCAUCAGAUGGCAAGUUUUGUACGUGGUAAAAGCUUGAGCCUAACCCGCCAACGCCGUCGGAGGGGACGAAAAAGCAAAGGAGGUGGACGUGGAAGGGGGCGCAGGAGACGACGCCAUGGCAAAAAGAAAGGUCAUAAGUCCCGUGGCCGCAGAAGAAGGAGAAGACAUCACUAAAACUCUUCCCUUUUUAUGGUGUCCUGUGUCCUUGACUCUGAAAGCCAUCAGACAAAUCAACCAACCAACCAAAUGAAACAACUUUUCAUAAGAACACCCAGGAUACCAUUCUGAGAUUCAAGGAGCCUGCAGCAAUGUGAACAAAAUCACCUGUCAAUAAAAUGCUGAAAUGUCA